GACGAACGCUGGCGGCGUGCCUAAUACAUGCAAGUAGAACGCAGUUGCGAACGGGUGAGUAACGCGUAGGUAACUGCCUGGUAGCGGGGGAUAACUAUUGGAAACGCUAGCUAAUACCGCAUACUACCAGAUGGACCUGCGUUGUAUUAGCUAGUUGGUGAGGUAACGGCGCACCAAGGCAACGAUACAUAGCCGACCUGAGAGGGGGAUCGGCCACAAUGGGAAUGAGAAAAGGCCCAGAAUCCUACGGGAGGCAGCAGUAGGGAAUCUUCGGACAUGGGGGGAACCCUGAACGAGCAACGCCGCGUGAGUGGAGAAGGUUUUCGGAUCGGAAAGCUCUGUUGUGAAGGAAGCGGUACUUAAACAGAAAGGGACGGCUAACUACGUGCCAGCAGCCGCGGUAAUUC
rnacentral:rRNA from 1 species